GUGGUAGCUCAGUGGUAGAGUGCUUGCCUAGCAUGUGUGAUGCACUGGGUUUGAUCCUCAGCACCACA
rnacentral:tRNA from 1 species